UCGAGCGAAUGGAUUAAGAGCUUGCUCUUAUGAAGUUAGCGGCGGACGGGUGAGUAACACGUGGGUAACCUGCCCAUAAGACUGGGAUAACUCCGGGAAACCGGGGCUAAUACCGGAUAACAUUUUGAACCGCAUGGUUCGAAAUUGAAAGGCGGCUUCGGCUGUCACUUAUGGAUGGACCCGCGUCGCAUUAGCUAGUUGGUGAGGUAACGGCUCACCAAGGCAACGAUGCGUAGCCGACCUGAGAGGGUGAUCGGCCACACUGGGACUGAGACACGGCCCAGACUCCUACGGGAGGCAGCAGUAGGGAAUCUUCCGCAAUGGACGAAAGUCUGACGGAGCAACGCCGCGUGAGUGAUGAAGGCUUUCGGGUCGUAAAACUCUGUUGUUAGGGAAGAACAAGUGCUAGUUGAAUAAGCUGGCACCUUGACGGUACCUAACCAGAAAGCCACGGCUAACUACGUGCCAGCAGCCGCGGUAAUACGUAGGUGGCAAGCGUUAUCCGGAAUUAUUGGGCGUAAAGCGCGCGCAGGUGGUUUCUUAAGUCUGAUGUGAAAGCCCACGGCUCAACCGUGGAGGGUCAUUGGAAACUGGGAGACUUGAGUGCAGAAGAGGAAAGU
rnacentral:rRNA from 1 species